AGCGGCGGGGACACGGCGGCGGAGCAGGAGAGCGGCGCUGCGGGGGAUGUCCGCUGUAGACGUGGGUCAAAUAACAGCAACAACAAUAAAGGGCAUUUCAGACGGGUUUCGGGAAGUCAGUGAUUCAUCAGGGUGAUGCGAUCCGCCGAAGGCAAGCGAGCAAGCUCGUGGGUUAGACGGGACCAGCAAGUACUAUCUGCCAUGAGGGCACUUCUCUCCAGAGAUGCAAAAGCACCGGGUGGUGGAUGUAGACGCUGUAAGAGGCUGAACUACCUUCUCCCUGUCAGCGACAUCUGGAGAGAGGUGGCAGAGUGUGACAGAAGCAUCGGCAUCAGGACAGCACUAACCUAUGUGAAGACUGGCCUGUGAGUGCCUUGGAAGCUUCUGCUGGAGUGCUUCAGCUGGCUAGUGCCCAAAUGGCUCCAAAAGAAUCAUCCUACUCCCACUGUCAUCUUGUACAUUGGCACUGGCAAGGCUGCGCAUCAAGUGCCAUGUCCAGUUCUGGGCUGCUCACUUUAAAAAGGACACUGAUGUGAUGGAGCAUGUUUGGAAAAGGGAAUAAAGCUCACAAAAGGACCAGAAAA